GUGGUUGCUGGCAUUCCAGGGGGCACUUCGUCACACACACCAUGCACCACAAGUAGCAUGGUGAAAUAUACUGAUAGAGGGAUUGUAUUAUUGGACCCUACAGAAAGGACACAGUCUGUCACAGCUGUUGAAGAUGACGAUGAAGAGUCCACAUCUGCUGUGACAGAAGUGGACAAUGCUGGUGGAUCCACUGAGUACAUACCUGGGGAUUUGCCCACAGAUGACGGUCCUUCAACCUCAAUGCACGAUCUAAGCAGUGUAAGAAUUUAU